UAAUACGGAGGGGGUUAGCGUUGUUCGGAAUUACUGGGCGUAAAGCGCGCGUAGGCGGAUUGGAAAGUUGGGGGUGAAAUCCCAGGGCUCAACCCUGGAACUGCCCUUGAUACUGGGUGUCUUGAGUUCGAGAGAGGUGAGUGGAAUUCCGAGUGUAGAGGUGAAAUUCGUAGAUAUUCGGAGGAACACCAGUGGCGAAGGCGGCUCACUGGCUCGAUACUGACGCUGAGGUGCGAAAGUGUGGGGAGCAAACAGGAUUAGAUACCCUGGUAGUCCACACCGUAAACGAUGAAUGCCAGUCGUCGGGCAGUAUACUGUUCGGUGACACACCUAACGGAUUAAGCAUUCCGCCUGGGGAGUACGGUCGCAAGAUUA
rnacentral:rRNA from 1 species